UACGUAGGGGGCAAGCGUUGUCCGGAAUUAUUGGGCGUAAAGAGCGCGUAGGCGGUCCGAUAAGUCGGCUGUGAAAGUCAGGGGCUCAACCCUUGGAAGCCGGCCGAUACUGUCGGACUAGAGUCCGGAAGAGGCGAGUGGAAUUCCCGGUGUAGCGGUGAAAUGCGUAGAUAUCAGGAGGAACACCUGUGGCGAAAGCGGCUCACUGGACCACAACUGACGCUGAUGCGCGAAAGCUAGGGGAGCAAACAGG
rnacentral:rRNA from 1 species